AUUGAACGCUGGCGGCAGGCCCAACACAUGCAAGUCGAGCGGAUGAAGGGAGCUUGCUCCUGGAUUCAGCGGCGGACGGGUGAGUAAUGCCUAGGAAUCUGCCUGGUAGUGGGGGAUAACGUCCGGGAACGGGCGCUAAUACCGCAUACGUCCUGAGGGAGAAAGUGGGGAUCUUCGGACCUCACGCUAUCAGAUGAGCCUAGGUCGGAUUAGCUAGUUGGUGGGGUAAAGGCCUACCAAGGCGACGAUCCGUAACUGGUCUGAGAGGAUGAUCAGUCACACUGGAACUGAGACACGGUCCAGACUCCUACGGGAGGCAGCAGUGGGGAAUAUUGGACAAUGGGCGAAAGCCUGAUCCAGCCAUGCCGCGUGUGUGAAGAAGGUCUUCGGAUUGUAAAGCACUUUAAGUUGGGAGGAAGGGCAGUAAGUUAAUACCUUGCUGUUUUGACGUUACCAACAGAAUAAGCACCGGCUAACUUCGUG
rnacentral:rRNA from 1 species